CCUACGGGUGACUGCAGUGGGGAAUAUUGGACAAUGGGGGCAACCCUGAUGCAGCGACGCCGCGUGAGUGAAGAAGUCUUUCGGUAUGUAAAGCUCUAUCAGCAGGGAAGAACAUGACAGUGUACGUCUUAGAUAAGCCGCCUAUCUAUGCGCCCGCGGCCGCGGUAUUACGUAGGGGGCAAGCGUUUUCCGGAUUUACUGGGUGUAAAGGGGGCGUAGACGGGGGCACAAGUCUGAAGUGAAAUGCCGUGGCUCAACCCCGGAACUGCAUUUGAAACUGUGUCGCUUGAGUGCAGGAGAGGCAAGCGGAAUUCCUAGUGUAGCGGUGAAAUGCGUAGAUAUUAGGAGGAACACCAGUGGCGAAGGCGGCCUGCUGGACGACAACUGACGGUGAGGCGCGAAAGCGUGGGGAGCAAACAGGAUUAGAUACCCGAGUAGUC
rnacentral:rRNA from 1 species